UUAUUGAAUUUCGAAGUCGUAUUAAAUUUUGAUGCGACGUAAGUUACGGAAUUGGAUUAAAUCGUAAAGAAAUUUAGAGGAACUAAAUUGGAUCUUUUGCCAUUUGAAGUCCAAUAGAUAAGGCCAUAUGAUAUCAUCCUCUUCACUUUCUUAAGACUUCAAGAAGCUACCAAAUUCUCACCAAAAAGCUUCUCUUUGCCGAACCCAUAACCCCACCACCAUCUCCAUCAAAAUCUCACCAAAGCUUGGAGUUUUUGGAAGCAAAAGACUCUAAAAUCAAAGGAGAUCAAGACUCGACGAGGCGAUUAUCAAGGGGACGCGGAACGUAAAGAACGCGACAUCGCUUUGCUAGGGCCGAAGUCUUUGGAUAGAAAUUUUGUUAUGUUUCAGGUGUAUAGUAGCGAAUGUAACGGACUUCUAUCCUUGUUCCAGAAGUCCGCGAGUACAGAAAGAAGGAACCAAUCAGUAGUGCUGCAGUAGUCGAGUCCUAGAGUGUAAUUAUGUUUUGUCAAACAGUUUUAAAUAUUUUGUUUAUACUCUGAUAUGUAUAAAGGCUUUAGACUGCGCUUUUAAACCGUUUACAUAUAUGUGAGAAACAGGGCAUUGCUUGAUAUGAGAUAUCACUUUGUAAGACCCUGAUUUCUAAAGAUCGUCUUGUAUCGUUUAAAGAAGUUUUAUAAAAAAAAAACAUUUUGAGAA